ACGGGGUAGCAAUACCCAGUAGCAGACGGGUGAGUAACACGUGGUCAACCUACCUCUGUGUGGGGGAUAACUAGCCGAAAGGUUAGCUAAUACCGCAUACGAUCGUUUUGGGGCAUCUCGAGACGAUGAAAGGAGCAAUCCGCACGGAGAGGGGACUGCGUCCCAUUAGUUAGUUGGUGGGGUAACGGCCUACCAAGACUCCGAUGGGUAGCUGGCUUGAGAGAGCGACCAGCCACACUGGAACUGAGACACGGUCCAGACUCCUACGGGAGGCAGCAGUGAGGAAUUUUCCGCAAUGGGCGAAAGCCUGACGGAGCGACGCCGCGUGUGGGAAGAAGGCCUUCGGGUCGUAAACCACUGUCGAAGGGGACGAUACUGACGGUACCCUUGGAGGAAGCCCCGGCUAACUACGUGCCAGCAGCCGCGGUAAGACGUAGGGGGCAAGCGUUGUCCGGAAUUAUUGGGCGUAAAGCGCUCGUAGGUGGAUCAACAAGUCCGCAAGCAAAGA
rnacentral:rRNA from 1 species